rnacentral:lncRNA from 1 species
AUGAUUUCGCUUUUCCUCCCACUGGGACAUUCUCAGGUAUGGAGGAAGAGGAAAAGAGUCUACACAGACCCAAAAACAAAGAAAGUCUUUCAGGAGCAGGCUGUGAUGAAGCAGUGGGAUUCAGGAUGGAAUGUAAUGUCAGAACACAAGCCCUCCCUGGAAAUCCAAAGGACAAUACCAGUGGUAGAGGUAGGUGUACUUUGUACAGUAUUAGGAUGGAUGCUUGAACCAUCUUAUUUGGAUAAUAGGAUAAGACUUGAAAGAUGGAGAAUUUGGGAAGUACUAGAUUGUAAAUGCUUGAGUAUAAAUAAUUCCCAGUCAGAAUGACCCUGCUGUAAGGGGUGUGGUGGGUGGCCUCUAAGAUGGACCUCAAUGAUCCCCACCUCCUGAUAUUCAUGCCUUUGUGGAAGUCCCUCCCCUUGAUUAUGGGUUAGAUUUAGUGAUUCACUUCUAGCAAAUAAAAUACAGCAGCAGUGAUAGGAUAUCUCUUUUAAGAUAAAAUUACAAAAAGAUUACAGAUUUCAUCUUGGACAUCCUAUCUUACUCACCCUGAGAAAUGCCAGCUACUGUAUUGUGAGCUUCCUACUGGAGACAUCCACAUGUCAAAGAACUGAAGAAGGUUUCCAGCCACUAGUUAGCAAGAAACUCAGGCUCCCAGUUCGACAGCCUGCAAGGAACUGAAGUAUGCACACAACCACAUGCGUGAGCGUGGAGAGAGAUUCUCCCCAUCAGAUCCUCGGAUGAGACCAUAGCCAUGGCCCUGUGGCUUGACUACAACCUCCUAAGAAGCCUUGAGCCAGCUAAAUUGCACCCAGAUUCCCGACCUACAG